rnacentral:sRNA from 1 species
AGAAAGUGUCAAAUAUUCUGCAAGCAGGCUUUUGGUGGCCAACAAUGUUUAAGGACGCUCACGAGUUUGUCCCAAAAUGUGAUUCAUGCUGGAGAAAUGAGAUGCCUCAUAACCCAAUCUUGGAAGUGGAGAUCUUUGAUAAGUGUGCAUUUUACAUGUUUUGAGCAUCCAUUUGUUAUCACUAUUGCAUCAUAUCACCACUGUUUUAUACCAUUUCUCAUCAUUUGUCAUCACUUUGCAUGGUUAGGAUAGUUUUGCAUGCAUGUUGCAUAUA